rnacentral:rRNA from 1 species
GCCAAGCUAAUACAUGAACCAAAGGGGUGUUCUCUGUUCCGGUGGUGCUUGCAUCACCAUGGGACGCCCAGCGAAUGAAUGAAAGUAAAACCAAUGCCUUAACUGGCAGUAACAACCAGAAGUGUUGAAUCAAUUCAUUCCGUGCGAAAGCCGGGUUUUUACUCGGCGUCUUUUGACGAACAACUGCCCUAUCAGCCAGCGAUGGCCGUGUAGUGGACUGCCAUGGCGUUGACGGGAGCGGGGGAUUAGGGUUCGAUUCCGGAGAGGGAGCCUGAGAAAUAGCUACCACUUCUACGGAGGGCAGCAGGCGCGCAAAUUGCCCAAUGUCAAAAAAAAACGAUGAGGCAGCGAAAAGAAAUAGAGCCGACAGUACCUUUUGGUAUUGUCGUUUUCAAUGGGGGAUAUUUAAACCCAUCCAAAAUCGAGUAACAAUUGGAGGACAAGUCUGGUGCCAGCACCCGCGGUAAUUCCAGCUCCAAAAGCGUAUAUUAAUGCUGUUGCUGUUAAAGGGUUCGUAGUUGAAUUGUGGGCCUUUGAGGCGCAAUGGUUUUGUCCCGUCCACUUCGGAUUGGUGACCCAUGCCCUUGAGGUCCGUGAACACACAGAAACAAGAAACACGGGAGUGGUACCCUUCUGAAUUUCGCAUGUCAUGCAUGCCAGGGGGCGCCCGUGAUUUUUACUGUGACU